rnacentral:rRNA from 1 species
UACGUAGGGGGCGAGCGUUGUCCGGAUUCAUUGGGCGUAAAGAGCUCGUAGGCGGCUAUUCAAGUCGGAUGUGAAAACUCGGGGCUCAACCCCGAGCCUGCAUUCGAUACUGGAUGGCUAGAGUCUGGUAGGGGGAUCUGGAAUUCCAGGUGUAGCGGUGAAAUGCGUAGAUAUCUGGAGGAACACCGGUGGCGAAGGCGGCAUCCUGGACCGGUAUUGACGCUGAGGCGCGAAAGCUAGGGGAGCAAACGGG